rnacentral:tRNA from 1 species
GCCCCCGUAGCCCAACUGGCCAGAGGCGACGGAUUUAAGUCCCGUGAAGUGUGGGUUCGACUCCCACCGGGGGCA